rnacentral:rRNA from 1 species
AACGAACGCUGGCGGCAUGCCUAACACAUGCAAGUCGAACGAGACCUUCGGGUCUAGUGGCGCACGGGUGCGUAACGCGUGGGAACCUGCCCUUAGGUUCGGAAUAACUCCCCGAAAGGGGUGCUAAUACCGGAUAAUGUCUUCGGACCAAAGAUUUAUCGCCUUUGGAUGGGCCCGUGUUGGAUUAGCUAGUUGGUAGGGUAAAAGCCUACCAAGGCGACGAUCCAUAGCUGGUCUGAGAGGAUGAUCAGCCACACUGGGACUGAGACACGGCCCAGACUCCUACGGGAGGCAGCAGUGGGGAAUAUUGGACAAUGGGCGAAAGCCUGAUCCAGCAAUGCCGCGUGAGUGAUGAAGGCCUUAGGGUUGUAAAGCUCUUUUACCCGGGAUGAUAAUGACAGUACCGGGAGAAUAAGCGCCGGCUAACUCCGUG